rnacentral:lncRNA from 1 species
GCUCCUCCCAGCUGCUGGACAUGGCUGUAGCUGUAGCUGUAGCUGUAGCUGUCGCUGUAGCUGUAGGUGUAGCUGUAGCUGUCUUUCAGUGUCCCGGGGGUUUAGCUACCGGCUUAUUUUCGGGUUAUUACGUGCUCUAUUCAGGAGCUCGCGCUCUUCUCCCCCUCCUGGUGGGCCUGAUGUGGUGGCUGUAGCGCCUGUAGCUGCGUAACUGCAGAGCUAGGGUGAGAGUAGAUAAGUGUUGGCAACAGCUGAUGCAAGGCUGGGUGUGGUAGCUGUAGCCUAAGGCGCCGUGGCGGGCGGCCUGUUAUUGCCGCUUUGACAGUUCCUUUUCCUGUUCCUG